rnacentral:rRNA from 1 species
GGGUGCGUAACGCGUAUAGAACCUACCUUUUACAGAGGGAUAGCCUUUAGAAAUGAAGAUUAAUACCUCAUAGUACUAUAGAUUCGCAUGAAUUUAUACUUAAAGAUUUAUCGGUAAAAGAUGGCUAUGGGUCCUAUUAGCUAGAUGGUAAGGUAACGGCUUACCAUGGCAACGAUGGGUAGGGGUCCUGAGAGGGAGAUCCCCCACACUGGUACUGAGACACGGACCAGACUCCUACGGGAGGCAGCAGUGAGGAAUAUUGGGCAAUGGAGGCAACUCUGACCCAGCCAUGCCGCGUGCAGGAAGACGGCCCUAUGGGUUGUAAACUGCUUUUAUACAGGAAGAAACCCUCGUACGAGUACGAGCUUGACGGUACUGUAAGAAUAAGGACCGGCUAACUCCGUGCCAGCAGCCGCGGUAAUACGGAGGGUCCGAGCGUUAUCCGGAAUCAUUGGGUUCAAAGGGUCCGCAGGCGGUCGAUUAAGUCAUAGGUGAAAUCCCAUAGCUCAACUAUGGAACUGCCUUUGAUACUGGUUGACUUGAGUCAUAU